GCUGCCGGGGCUCCCGCUCUCUCUCCGGCCUCCCAGGCAUCUGGAAAGGCUUAAGGGCUCCCGACAGUAAAAGACACCUGCAGGAAAUUAAAGACCGACUGACACCAGAACCAGGCUGAGACGUGCGUGUCCUCAGGGCAGCGCCCAGGUGAGCCUGCUUUGGGCUGAUGCCUGAACUUCUCCCACCAAGACCAUCCAGGUCCAUCCAGGUCCAGCCCUGCCAGACGUGCAGCUUUGUCCAUCAGUGACUCCGAUGUGGACAUUAAGAGAGAUUCAAUGCUGAGAAAUGCAAGGCCCUGCUGGGUGAAGACUCAACCCACGAGUGUGACCAGAGAGUGGGGCUCAGUUGUGAACACAGAACAUCAGGCCAGCUUCACUCUGUUUUCCUGCUGAAGGCUGUGGGAGGCAGGGAUUAUUGGUGGAUUCAGAGGGUAGAGGGAGGCAGUGCUGAUGUCAUGCCGAUGGCAGCUGAGGAGAGGCAGAAGUUAUCCUUCUUAGUGCAGAGGAAGAUUGCAGUUGCAGUGUUUCCCUGGGCUGUACUGCAGGUGCUCUCAGUCCCUGUGUUGCCUGCAAGGCUCAGUCCUGGCAGCCCAAGCAGAUUUGCUCUGAGGGAUUCUCCAGUGGCCCCAGGCCCUGUGGGUGGGCUUUGGGCCCCUCAUCCCAGCCCUUUGGAAUCAGUUUGGAGAGGUGAUUUGCCGCUGGCCAGCACACUGAACCUGGGCCCUGCUGGGUUUGGGAUCAGAAGGCACCAGCUCUAGUGGUCUCUACCCUAAAUGUCAGCAUUUUAGUAGCAUUUGCCCGCUGUCACUGAGUUCAUAUUCCCUAAUGAUGAGGAAGAUUCUUAUCUGUUUUGUUCCUGUUUGAGUCAUACGUAGGGAGUACUUCACCUCAAACAAAGCUAAAAUUGGGGGAAGUAAAAUACAUGUCAAUAAAAAUGGGCCAUUGUCUCUGAUCACAAGGCCUGUGCUCUA